AGAACGAACGCUGGCGGCAGGCUUAACACAUGCAAGUCGAGCGCCCAGCAAUGGGAGCGGCGGACGGGUGAGUAACACGUGGGAACAUGCCUUUCGGUACGGAACAACUUCGGGAAACUGAAGCUAAUGCCGUAUACGCCCUUACGGGGAAAGAUUUAUCGCCGAAAGAUUGGCCCGCGUCUGAUUAGCUAGUUGGUGAGGUAACGGCUCACCAAGGCUUCGAUCAGUAGCUGGUUUGAGAGAACGACCAGCCACACUGGGACUGAGACACGGCCCAGACUCCUACGGGAGGCAGCAGUGGGGAAUCUUGGACAAUGGAGGAAACUCUGAUCCAGCCAUGCCGCGUGAGUGAUGAAGGCCUUCGGGUUGUAAAACUCUUUUACCCGGAAGAUAAUGACUGUACCGGGAGAAUAAGCUCCGGCUAACUUCGCGCCAGCAGCCGC
rnacentral:rRNA from 1 species